rnacentral:rRNA from 1 species
GACGAACGCUGGCGGCGUGCUUAACACAUGCAAGUCGAGCGGUAAGGCCCUUCGGGUACGACGAGCGGCGAACGGGUGAGUAACACGUGGGUGACCUGCCUCUAGCUCUGGGAUAAGCCUGGGAAACGUGGGUCUAAUACCGGAUAUGACUCCAUGACGCAUGUUGUGGGGUGGAAAGCCUUGUGCGGCUAGGGAUGGGCCCGCGGCCUAUCAGCUUGUUGGUGGGGUGGAUGGCCUACCAAGGCGACGACGGGUAGCCGGCCUGAGAGGGCGACCGGCCACACUGGGACUGAGACACGGCCCAGACUCCUACGGGAGGCAGCAGUGGGGAAUCUUGCGCAAUGGGCGAAAGCCUGACGCAGCGACGCCGCGUGAGGGAUGACGGCCUGGU